rnacentral:rRNA from 1 species
CUUGACGACCAUAGAGCGUUGGAACCACCUGAUCCCAUUCCGAACUCAGAAGUGAAACGAUGGAGCCUUGAGCUCCCUAAAGGGCCGUCGAAG